GACGAACGCUGGCGGCGUGCUUAACACAUGCAAGUCGAACGGUGAAAGGGAGCUUGCUCCCUGGAUCAGUGGCGAACGGGUGAGUAACACGUGGGCAACCUGCCCCAGACUUGGGAUAACGCUUCGAAAGAGGUGCUAAUACCGGAUACGAACUCCUUGGGCAUCCUUGGAGUUGGAAAGUUUUUCGGUCUGGGAUGGGCCCGCGGCCUAUCAGCUUGUUGGUGAGGUAACGGCUCACCAAGGCGACGACGGGUAGCCGGCCUGAGAGGGCGACCGGCCACACUGGGACUGAGACACGGCCCAGACUCCUACGGGAGGCAGCAGUGGGGAGUAUUGCGCAAUGGGCGAAAGCCUGACGCAGCAACGCCGCGUGAGGGAUGACGGCCUUCGGGUUGUAAACCUCUUUCAGCAGGGAAGAAGCGAAAGUGACGGUACCUGCAGAAGAAGCACCGGCUAACUACGUGCCAGCAGCCGCGGUAA
rnacentral:rRNA from 1 species